GGGCGGUUAGCUCAGCGGUAGAGCACUUCCUUGACAUGGAAGGGGUCACAAGUUCGAUCCUUGUACCGCCCACCA
rnacentral:tRNA from 25 species